ensembl:snoRNA
GACACGUUCCUUAGAUCCAUCUCUGGAGGGCGCUGCCCUGAGCAGUGCUCCUCGGCAGCUUUUUGGCUGUACAGUUGGAGGUGCUUGAGUCAUUGGCGUGUGAGAUCAGUCUACCUGUCCCCCAGCCCACCUGCAUCACUGGCAGCCCCAUCCUCUACCGACGGGGAGCCUCCAGUGCUGCGAGCCUGGGGGACGGACACA